GAUGAACGCUGGCGGCGUGCUUAACACAUGCAAGUCGAACGGAAAGGCCCAAGCUUGCUUGGGUGCUCGAGUGGCGAACGGGUGAGUAACACGUGGGUGAUCUGCCCUGCACUUUGGGAUAAGCCUGGGAAACUGGGUCUAAUACCGGAUAGGACCAUCGUUUAGUGUCGGUGGUGGAAAGUUUUUCGGUGUGGGAUGAGCUCGCGGCCUAUCAGCUUGUUGGUGGGGUAAUGGCCUACCAAGGCGUCGACGGGUAGCCGGCCUGAGAGGGUGUACGGCCACAUUGGGACUGAGAUACGGCCCAGACUCCUACGGGAGGCAGCAGUGGGGAAGAUUGCACAAUGGGCGCAAGCCUGAUGCAGCGACGCCGCGUGGGGGAUGACGGCCUUCGGGUUGUAAACGCCUUUCGCCAAGGACGAAGCGUUUUGUGACGGUACUUGGAGAAGAAGCACCGGCUAACUACGUG
rnacentral:rRNA from 1 species